rnacentral:snRNA from 1 species
AGCGGAGUCGCUUAAUCUUUUCCCAUAAACCUUUCGCCUUUUGCUAAAGAUUUCCGUGGAUGAGAACACUCAUAUGUCACACAAAUUUUUUACUUAAAAAUCUUUUAA